GGGGCUGUAGCUCAAUGGUAGAGCACUUGCCUUUCAGGUACGAGGCCCUGAGUUCGAUCCUCAGCACCA
rnacentral:tRNA from 1 species